rnacentral:rRNA from 1 species
GAUGAACGCUGGCGGCGUGCCUAAUACAUGCAAGUAGAACGCUGAAGGAGGAGCUUGCUCUUCUGGAUGAGUUGCGAACGGGUGAGUAACGCGUAGGUAACCUGCCUGGUAGCGGGGGAUAACUAUUGGAAACGAUAGCUAAUACCGCAUGACAACAGUUAUUGCAUGAUAACUGUUUAAAAGGGGCAACUGCUCCACUACCAGAUGGACCUGCGUUGUAUUAGCUAGUUGGUGAGGUAACGGCUCACCAAGGCGACGAUACAUAGCCGACCUGAGAGGGUGAUCGGCCACACUGGGACUGAGACACGGCCCAGACUCCUACGGGAGGCAGCAGUAGGGAAUCUUCGGCAAUGGACGGAAGUCUGACCGAGCAACGCCGCGGGAGUGAAGAAGGUUGUCGGAUCGUAAAGCUCUGUUGUAAGAGAAGAACGAGUGUGAGAGUGGAAAGUUCACACUGUGACGGUAGCUUACCAGAAAGGGACGGCUAACUACGUG